CUCUUCAUACAACAUGCCACAGUCACCCCAGCACUGCUCUCUAUGCUUCGAGGGCUUUCUGACUAACAUUCACACACAUCCAUACGACCAACUGGCCCAAGGAUAUUUGGCAUGCAGACAAGGGGAACCAGGGAUUGAACCACCAACCCUCCGAUCAGCAGAUGAUCUGACCAGAGGUGUCCGGAGUAAGGAGAGACUGAGAAGCUGAGAAGAGACGGAGGCUCUCCACCCCUGAUGAAGCACCAGCACAGAUCCAGGACAGUAUGUGAGGAAGAGGAGCCAGCAGAGGAGAACAGACAGCUGUUCUCUGUAAUUGAGGGACUGGAUACAGACCUCUGGAUUUUUCCUGCUCUGGAGUGUUUGGAGAGACUGAGUUGAGUGAAGAGAAGUGUAUUGUUUGGACCCCCGCAGCACCUGUGGAGGCCAACAGUCCAAAACUGAUUUUCAAAGGUUCUCGGACUCGUCUGUACACCCGAUCUGUUUCCCUUGUGGCGUGGAGUGGAGUGAGAGACCAAACAAACGUGUGGGAAAACCAUACGAGAGGAGCGAGUGAGCGGAGCGUGUGUUGGACUUUCUCCCCUUUCCCCCGGACCGUUGCAUACCCCUGCCCUGUACACCGUACAUACUUUCACGUGGUGUUUUGUAAAUAAAUUGACGACUGCUAUUCUAGUUGCGCUGGUCUGCGCCUGAG
ensembl:lncRNA